rnacentral:rRNA from 1 species
AUGACAUUACCGAGGAGUAUUCUUUAUUGGAGAGACCAAGACUGCCGAGAAAGAAAGAAGCCGAUCUGCCCCCCUGGGACUUGCGGCCACAGCUGGAGAGGGCGUCUCCCCCUUAUCGACGGGGUUUGGUGCCGGUGCUCGGUGCACCGUCUUGGCCGUGCUGGGCGGCGAGUCAGCGACAGGCUUGGAUCCGAUCUGAAGUUGGUGGCAUCACCAUGCUUGUCCUCCUUUGUUAGCUGGUCUGCGGGCUUCCUCCGGACGUCCUGCUCGGCUGGUUGGCAGAGCAAUGGCGAUGCAAGCUCUGGGUCGGGGGAAACCCUUAACCGGUGGUGCCGGUCACGAUGUUGGCGGCGCUUGCGGCGCCGUUCUCCCUCUGGUGGGCGACAUCGAGACCCUCUCCUCGCCUUCCACCCCAUGGUCCCGGGCGAAAGCCUAAAAUCUCUUGAUUGGGCGGCGACAGCGCGUCGACAUCGUUUUCUUCUUGAAGACGCUGCCUUGGGAGUCCAGGAUGGCCAGGGGCUCGGAGCGGUGGUGGUUUGCCUGUUCUUCUAA